UACAGAGGGUGCUAGCGUUGUUCGGAAUCAUUGGGCGUAAAGGGCGUGUAGGCGGUUUGUUAAGUCAUGUGUGAAAUCCCUCGGCUCAACCGGGGAACGACGCAUGAAACUGGCAAGCUAGAGUACCAAAGAGGGGGGUGGAAUUCCCGGUGUAGCGGUGAAAUGCGUAGAUAUCUGGAGGAACACCGGUGGCGAAGGCGGCAUCCUGGACCAAUACUGACACUGAGGAGCGAAAGCCAGGGGAGCAAACGGG
rnacentral:rRNA from 1 species